GACAGAGGUGCCGAGCGUUAGGCGGAAUCACUGGGCUUAAAGCGUGUGUAGGCGGACUUCUAAGUGCCUUGUGAAAUCCCACGGCUCACCCGUGGAACUGCUGGGCAUACUGGGAUCUUGAGCCACUUAGGGGGCAACUGGAACAAACGGUGGGAGCGGUGAAAUGCGUAGAUAUCGUUUGGAACGCCAAUGGUGAAAAACAGGUUGCUGGG
rnacentral:rRNA from 1 species